UGAGAUAGCAUGGGAACAGGCACGGUAAAUUUAAAUAUGCUGCCCUAGGAGGUAAUGUCAUCCCAACAGCUUUCCCUCAUUCUGUUGCUGCCGUUUGGCUGUGAGUUCUUCAAGAGAUACAUCGUGUUGGUCUAUGUUUUGUGAGAUGCUGAACAAAGCAGCAGCUAAGAUGAAAGACACAAGAAUCUGAUAAUUAAUCCCUUCAGUUCAAAAUAUUUGCAAAUACCUGCCUCACUGUGAGAUUUAGGAGAGCCUCAGGGAUGACCUAACUCAUACCAGGAGAAAGCAGCUUGGGGAUGACCUAACUCAGGCCAGCAAAAGCAGCUCCUCUCACCCACCUGCCGUGAUCCCGUAAUACCUUUACACUGGCAGGGUGUGAGGCACUGUGAAGUUACCGUUAAUGCCAGAGUUACCCCUGGCAUGAGGAAAUCUUCAGCUCUUGCCUUGAGCUCUCUGCAUGGCACGGACUGAGUGGGGAUGGGCUGCAAGUCAAUGGACCUACUGCUUUCUCCGAGAGUCUGAUCCAAUGUUUAUUA